GACCUCGUGCUUUAAGAUGAGCCUAUGUCGGAUUAGCUUGUUGGUGGGGUAAUGGCCUACCAAGGCGACGAUCCGUAGCUGGUCUGAGAGGACGAUCAGCCACACUGGGACUGAGACACGGCCCAGACUCCUACGGGAGGCAGCAGUGGGGAAUCUUGGACAAUGGGGGAAACCCUGAUCCAGCAAUGCCGCGUGUGUGAAGAAGGCCUUCGGGUUGUAAAGCACUUUCAGUAGAGAAGAAAUUCUCAAGGGUAAUAUCCUUGGGCGUUGACGUUACCUACAGAAGAAGCACUGGCUAACUCUGUGCCAGCAGCCGCGGUAAUACAGAGAGUGCGAGCGUUAAUCGGAAUCACUGGGCGUAAAGCGCGCGUAGGUGGAUAUUUAAGUCGGAUGUGAAAGCCCUAGGCUUAACCUGGGAAUUGCACCCGAUACUGGAUAUCUCGAGUAUGGUAGAGGGAAGUGGAAUUUCCGGUGUAGCGGUGAAAUGCGUAGAUAUCGGAAAGAACACCAGUGGCGAAGGCGGCUUCCUGGAUCAAUACUGACACUGAGGCGCGAAAGCGUGGGGAGCAAACAGGAUUAGAGACCCUGGUAGUCCACGCCGUCAACGAUGAGAACUAGCUGUUGGAGAGUUUACUUUCUAGUAGCGAAGCUAACGCGUUAAGUUCUCCGCCUGGGGAGUACGGCCGCAAGGUUAAAACUCAAAGAAAUUGACGGGGGCCCGCACAAGCGGUGGAGCAUGUGGUUUAAUUCGAUGCAACGCGAAAAACCUUACCUACCCUUGACAUCCUCGGAACUUGUCAGAAAUGACUUGGUGCCUUCGGGAACCGAGUGACAGGUGCUGCAUGGCUGUCGUCAGCUCGUGUCGUGAGAUGUUGGGUUAAGUCCCGUAACGAGCGCAACCCUCGUCCUUAGUUGCCAGCGGUUCGGCCGGGAACUCUAAGGAGACUGCCGGUGAUAAACCGGAGGAAGGUGGGGAUGAUGUCAAGUCAUCAUGGCCCUUACGGGUAGGGCUACACACGUGCUACAAUGGGCAGUACAAAGGGUUGCCAAACCGUGAGGUGGAGCUAAUCCCAGAAAACUGCUCGUAGUCCGGAUUGAAGUCUGCAACUCGACUUCAUGAAGUUGGAAUCGCUAGUAAUCGCGAAUCAGAAUGUCGCGGUGAAUACGUUCUCGGGCCUUGUACACACC
rnacentral:rRNA from 1 species